CCGUGCUAGGUGGGAAGGUAGCGGUGUCCUGUACUCGCAAUCCGCUCUAGCGAGACUGAAUUCCUUUCUGAGGCUUGCACUCUGUAGGGUCUGCCUUAAGCAAGUGGUGUCGACGUCUGGGUCCUGCGCAAUGGAAAUCCAUGAACCAUGUCAGGUCCGGAAGGAAGCAGCAUUAAGUGGAAGCUUCCAUGUGCCGCGGGGCUGCCUGGGCUGAGCUAACUGCUUAAGUAACGCCUAUGGAUGCUUGUCGACGAAAGGUGCACGG
rfam:Bacillus marisflavi strain JCM 11544 scaffold8, whole genome shotgun sequence.